UACGAAGGGGGCUAGCGUUGCUCGGAAUCACUGGGCGUAAAGCGCACGUAGGCGGAUUGCUAAGUCAGGGGUGAAAUCCUGGAGCUCAACUCCAGAACUGCCUUCGAUACUGGGGAUCUCGAGUCCGGGAAGAGGUGAGUGGAACUCCGAGUGUAAGAGGUGAAAUUCGUAGAUAUUCGGAAGAACACCAGUGGCGAAGGCGGGUCUCUGGGGCCGUAACUGACGCUGAGGAGCGAAAGGCGUGGGGAGCGAACAGG
rnacentral:rRNA from 1 species